rnacentral:rRNA from 1 species
UACGAAGGGUGCAAACGUUGCUCGGAAUUAUUGGGCGUAAAGCGCACGUAGGCGGCUUAGCAAGUUGGAUGUGAAAGCCCUCGGCUUAACCAAGGAAGUGCAUCCAAAACUGCUGAGCUUGAGUAGUUAAGAGGAUCACGGAAUUCCCGGUGUAGAGGUGAAAUUCGUAGAUAUCGGGAGGAACACCAGUGGCGAAGGCGGCGAUCUGGGAACAUACUGACGCUGAGGUGCGAAAGCGUGGGGAGCAAACAGG